AAAGACUGUACUUAUAUUAUGGAGAACCUAAGCACACUACUCAAUAUUAUCUAAAGAAGCAAUGUAAUUACAAAAUGAGGUAUAUGGCUAUCAAGAAAGAUAGUAUAUUAGAAAAAAAAUUUAUCUAACUACAAUAAAGUCCCUACACUUUGAACCUUAUACAAAAUCUAGUGAAGGUCCUAUUCUUUCCUUAAAAUCUUCUCUUUGUUUUACAAUAAAUAUUAUUUUAGGACUUAAAUAUUACAUAGCCUCUACCUUAUUAAAUUCAAGAAGGAGCUCAAUUAUUAUAAAAAGUAAUCUAUAAUUUAUUACAAAAAAAUUGGUUGAAUUCAAGGAAUAUAUUGAAGAAAAUCUAGUCAAGUAUUUUAUAUACCAUUCCAAAUUUCUGUCACAAAUUUAGAAUACUGACUAAAAAUCUAAACAAGAAGCUUAAGAAAAAUUGGCAAGAACUAGAUUUAUCAGAUGAGUACAAGAACAAUACUAGAGAGAUGAGCUAGAGUUCUAAGAGGUGUAUUGUCAAGAC
rnacentral:lncRNA from 1 species